GACGAACGCUGGCGGCGUGCUUAACACAUGCAAGUCGAACGGAAAGGCCCCCUUGUGGGGUACUCGAGUGGCGAACGGGUGAGUAACACGUGAGUAACCUACCCUUGACUUUGGGAUAACUUCAGGAAACUGGGGCUAAUGCCGGAUAGGAGCUCCUGCUGCAUGGUGGGGGUUGGAAAGUUUCGGCGGUUGGGGAUGGACUCGCGGCUUAUCAGCUUGUUGGUGGGGUAGUGGCUCACCAAGGCUUUGACGGGUAGCCGGCCUGAGAGGGUGACCGGCCACAUUGGGACUGAGAUACGGCCCAGACUCCUACGGGAGGCAGCAGUGGGGAAUAUUGCACAAUGGGCGGAAGCCUGAUGCAGCAACGCCGCGUGCGGGAUGACGGCCUUCGGGUUGUAAACCGCUUUCGCCUGUGACGAAGCGUGAGUGACGGUAAUGGGUAAAGAGGCACCGGCUAACUACG
rnacentral:rRNA from 1 species